UAUUAAAGUUCCAACACUAUGAUGACGUCACGGCCUCCAUCUUCCCUGUCGUCUGGGAAGGCUGCCGAGACAGCGAUAUAUUUUCAUUGUUUUUCAGGUUAUUAUAAAGUGCCAGGAAGCGCCAUGCUGUGGGAAGGAUGAUGCAAGUGAAGGCCACGAGAGAGAAGUGGAGAGAGGACCAGGGAAUGAAUGAUCCAAUGUCUUGCUGCCCCACUCACUGAGACAAGAGACAAGAGAAGGAAGAGGAAGAAAAAGAAGAUGAUGAAGAGGAAGAGGAGGAUGACUUUGAAGACCAGCAGACAGGCAGACAGACAGACAUUGCUUUCUCCCCAACAGUUAUCCAACAUCUAUGGCAGCUCCUCAUAUUGACCCCCAAGAGAGACAAGAAGAAGAAGAAGAGGAAGAGGAAGACUGACAGACAGACAUUCCAUUGAGACAAGAAGAAGAAGAAGAGGAAGAGGAAGACUGACAGACAGACAUUAAAUUGAGACAAGAAGAAGAAGAAGAGGAAGAGGAAGACUGACAGACAGACAUUCCAUUGAGACAAGAAGAAGAAGAGGAAGAAGAGGAAGAGGAAGACUGACAGACAGACAUUCCAUUGAGUGUGCGGCGUCCCGCAGGCAGGCAGACCGAGACGCCAGCCAUUCAAUUCUGCCGAGGGAAGGAAGUCGUGUUAGUCAACUCUGAUGACUUGUACUUUUCUCUGCAAGGGACUGUUCUGUAAGCCAGUCACAGAAGAUGUGAACUGUAUCUGUACUAUGAAGUCUUAUAAAUAAAGUUAAGGCCACAC